rnacentral:rRNA from 1 species
UACGAAGGUGGCAAGCGUUGUUCGGAUUUACUGGGCGUACAGGGAGCGUAGGCGGUUGGAUAAGCCCUCCGUGAAAUCUCCAGGCUUAACCUGGAAAGUGCAGAGGGGACUGUUCAGCUAGAGGAUGGGAGAGGAGCGCGGAAUUCCCGGUGUAGCGGUGAAAUGCGUAGAGAUCGGGAGGAAGGCCGGUGGCGAAGGCGGCUCUCUGGGCCUUACCUGGACGCUGAGGAGCGAAAGCGGUGGGUAGCGAACAAGG